rnacentral:rRNA from 1 species
UACAGAGGGUGCAAGCGUUAAUCGGAAUUACUGGGCGUAAAGCGCGCGUAGGUGGUUUGUUAAGUUGAAUGUGAAAUCCCCGGGCUCAACCUGGGAACUGCAUGCAAAACUGGCAAGCUAGAGUAUGGUAGAGGGUGGUGGAAUUUCCUGUGUAGCGGUGAAAUGCGUAGAGAUCGGGAGGAACACCAGUGGCGAAGGCGGCUACCUGGACCAGCACUGACACUGAGGCACGAAAGCGUGGGGAGCAAACAGG